GAGGAUAUAGCUUAGUGGUAGAGUGUAUGCUCAGCAUGCGUAAUAUCCUGGAUUCAAUCCCCAGUACCUCCA
rnacentral:tRNA from 1 species